GUGUCAGCAGCCGCGGUAAUACGUAGGUGGCGAGCGUUGUCCGGAUUUACUGGGUGUAAAGGGCGCGUAGGCGGGGCGGCAAGUCCGAUGUGAAAUCCCGCGGCUUAACUGCGGAACUGCAUCGGAAACUGCCGUCCUUGAGUAUCAGAGGGGAAAGCGGAAUUCCUAGUGUAGCGGUGAAAUGCGUAGAUAUUAGGAGGAACACCGGUGGCGAAGGCGGCUUUCUGGCUGAAAACUGACGCUGAUGCGCGAAAGCGUGGGGAGCAAACAGGAUUAGAUACCCUGGUAGUCCACGCCGUAAACGAUGGAUACUAGGUGUGGGAGGUAUCGACCCCUUCCGUGCCGUCGUUAACACAAUAAGUAUCCCACCUGGGGAGUACGGCCGCAAGGCUGAAACUCAAAGAAAUUGGCGG
rnacentral:rRNA from 1 species